rnacentral:misc_RNA from 1 species
GAUGAAGAACGCAGCGAAAUGCGAUAAGUAAUGUGAAUUGCAGAAUUCAGUGAAUCAUCGAAUCUUUGAACGCACAUUGCGCCCGCCAGUAUUCUGGCGGGCAUGCCUGUUCGAGCGUCAUUUCAACCAUCAAGCCCUGCUUGCGUUGGGGUCCUGCGGCUGCCCGCAGGCCCUGAAAACCAGUGGCGGGCUCGCUAGUCACACCGAGCGCUGUAAUACAUCUCGCUUUGGGCGUGCGGCGGGUUCUUGCCGUUAAACACCCCCUUUUUACCAAGGUUGACCUCGGAUCAGGUAGGAAUACCCGCUGAACUUAAGCAUAUCAAUAAGCGGAGGA